rnacentral:rRNA from 1 species
UACGUAGGUGGCAAGCGUUGUCCGGAUUUACUGGGUGUAAAGGGCGCGUAGGCGGGACUGCAAGUCAGAUGUGAAAUGCCGUGGCUUAACCACGGAGCUGCAUUUGAAACUGUAGUUCUUGAGUAUCGGAGAGGCAGGCGGAAUUCCUAGUGUAGCGGUGAAAUGCGUAGAUAUUAGGAGGAACACCAGUGGCGAAGGCGGCCUGCUGGACGACAACUGACGCUGAGGCGCGAAAGCGUGGGGAGCAAAC